rnacentral:rRNA from 1 species
AGUGAACGCUGGCGGUAGGCCUAACACAUGCAAGUCGAACGGCAGCACAGUAAGAGCUUGCUCUUACGGGUGGCGAGUGGCGGACGGGUGAGGAAUACAUCGGAAUCUACUUUUUCGUGGGGGAUAACGUAGGGAAACUUACGCUAAUACCGCAUACGACCUACGGGUGAAAGCAGGGGAUCUUCGGACCUUGCGCGAUUGAAUGAGCCGAUGUCGGAUUAGCUAGUUGGCGGGGUAAAGGCCCACCAAGGCGACGAUCCGUAGCUGGUCUGAGAGGAUGAUCAGCCACACUGGAACUGAGACACGGUCCAGACUCCUACGGGAGGCAGCAGUGGGGAAUAUUGGACAAAGGGCGCAAGCCUGAUCCAGCCAUACCGCGUGGGUGAAGAAGGCCUUCGGGUUGUAAAGCCCUUUUGUUGGGAAAGAAAAGCAGCAGGCUAAUACCCCGCUGUUCUGACGGUACCCAAAGAAUAAGCACCGGCUAACUUCGUG